rnacentral:sRNA from 1 species
AUAAAUUUGGUAGAUUCUGACAGUUGAUUUAUUGACAGCAUUGUUUUUGGAGAUUAUAAAUCAUAUAUAUGAAAGUUGGCCAACUCUCUCCAAAUAAAUGACACAUCAUCACACAAGAAAAUGACAUGUGUCAUUCUAUAUUUUUUAAA